rnacentral:rRNA from 1 species
GUCGAACGGUACAGGAAGAAACUUGUUUUCUUUGCUGACGAGUGGCGGACGGGUGAGUAAUGCUUGGGGAGCUGCCCAAUGGUGGGGGAUAACAGUUGGAAACGACUGCUAAUACCGCAUGUUGUCUUUGGAUAAAAGCAGGGGAUCUUCGGACCUUGCGCCAUUAGAUGCGCCCAAGUGAGAUUAGCUAGUUGGUGGGGUAAUGGCUCACCAAGGCGACGAUCUCUAGCUGGUCUGAGAGGAUGAUCAGCCACACUGGAACUGAGACACGGUCCAGACUCCUACGGGAGGCAGCAGUGGGGAAUAUUGCACAAUGGGCGAAAGCCUGAUGCAGCCAUGCCGCGUGUGUGAAGAAGGCCUUCGGGUUGUAAAGCACUUUCAGUUGGGAGGAAAGGGUGUGCGCUAAUAUCGUGCAUCUGUGACGUUACCAACAGAAGAAGCACCGGCUAACUCCGUGCCAGCAGCCGCGGUAAUACGGAGGGUGCGAGCGUUAAUCGGAAUUACUGGGCGUAAAGCGUGCGCAGGCGGCUGAAUAAGCUAGAUGUGAAAGCCCAGGGCUCAACCUUGGAAUUGCAUUUAG